rnacentral:rRNA from 1 species
UACGUAGGGUGCAAGCGUUAAUCGGAAUUACUGGGCGUAAAGCGUGCGCAGGCGGUUUUGUAAGUCUGUCGUGAAAUCCCCCGGGCUCAACCUGGGAAUUGCGAUGGAGACUGCAAGGCUAGAAUCUGGCAGAGGGGGGUAGAAUUCCACGUGUAGCAGUGAAAUGCGUAGAGAUGUGGAGGAACACCGAUGGCGAAGGCAGCCCCCUGGGCCUGCACUGACGCUCAUGCACGAAAGCGUGGGGAGCAACAGG